UCGAUAGAACAAUGUAGGUAAGGGAAGUCGGCAAAUUAGAUCCGUAACUUCGGGAUAAGGAUUGGCUCUGAAGACUGUGGUAGCUGCGUAGGCUAUAUGAUGUUUAAAUUUGUUUCGCAAGAGAUAUAUUUUGAACAUUAAGCUUGUGUAUUUAUAAAUGUUUCUCACGAGAUGUUUAUAAAAAAGGCUAUCAAUUAACAGUCAAUUCAGAACUGGCACGGUUUAGGGAAUCCGACUGUCUAAUUAAAACAAAGCAUUGUGAUGGUUCUCGGUGGAUGUUGACACAAUGUGAUUUCUGCCCAGUGCUCUGAAUGUCAACGUGAAGAAAUUCAUUUAAGCGCGGGUAAACGGCGGGAGUAACUAUGACUCUCUUAAGG
rnacentral:rRNA from 1 species